AUGCUAAAAUGAUGAUGUGUCAAU
rnacentral:siRNA from 1 species